ACCUGGCUGGCUCAGUCAGAAGAGGGUGCGACUCUUGAUCUCAGGAUGAUGAGUUCAAGUCCCAUGUUAGGUA
rnacentral:tRNA from 1 species